AUCAAUCUGUUCCUCUGUCUGCUGGAAGUGAAAGAUCAGACUCUGUCCAGAGAGAUUCAGGAGUUUGUGAAAUCUGAUAAAAACUUAGAGAAUGAACUCACUCCUGCUAACUGCUCAGCAAUCGCCUACAUGCUUCAGAUGUCAGAGGAGCCGCUGGAUGAGCUGGACCUCAUGAAAUACAACACAACAAAUGAGGGUAGAGGAAGACUGAUACCAGCUGUGAGCAACUGCAAAAAAGCUCUAGCUUACUGGAUGUUUACCCUUUUGAUCAGCACUUGUGGAUUCAGGAGUGAAGCUGCUUUCUUAUGGGCUGGAGAGUCAAAACUGUCAGCUGGAGAUACUAAGGUUCGACUUUCAUGUUCAUUCAUUUAUUAUUUAUUAUGUUCGAAUAUGUGUAUGAAUAGGUAUGAACAUUAAUAUGACUAGCAGAUACACUUUAUAUUGUAGUAUGAAUCUAUCAAUAUAAAUUGCUAAAGCACCCUCACUAAUUUCAGAAGCACCCUCAGUGAUUUAAUUUUGGAACCAGGCCUGAUAUGUGAGACUCAAGAGACUGGUGUGUGGUAUAAAUGCAACUCAUUAACAUUGAUCCCACCAGCCCACACUUCUUUACACCACUAUAGUGCAUGCCAUGCAUUGUGGCAUAAAUAAAUUAUGCAGCUAUUUAUCUUAGUGUUUUCAGAUUUUUUCCCCCUAAAAAUCAGAUCAGACUUUUCAGGCAGACUGUCCUCAUUAUUAAUUGCAAGUGAUUAAAUCAGAUUUAUGUGUUCAGACAUUUGGUAACGACACAGGUGUAACCACGUUUUUUGAUAAGGCUUUCAAAUGCAGGAAAAAUGAAGGUGCAUCAUCUCAUUCUCCAAAUUAAUGAUGUGUUGAGUUGUAGUGCAGAACUCCUCUGUCGCACUAGUAAAACUCAACGAUGGAGAAGAGAAGGUAUACAGGUAUAUUGUGAUGUUCCAUUCUGUAGUCAGAUUUGUUUGAAUACUGCAUGAAUACCUCUGGGAUUACAGUCACAGGUUUUGAUAUAAUUGUUUUGUGUCACGUUAAGAAAGAUGCAAAAGACUAUUUGAAAUUUGAUUUGAGCAGCCAGAGUGUCCAGAGACGCAUCUGUAAGAAUCUGAUUGGAAUCACGUUCCAAACCACCUCUAUAUGUGGUUUGAAUCAAAUGUUCAUGCUGCUAAGAAGACCAAAGGCCGGCAAAGUUUUAGGAGGUGAUGUCUGUUUGAUAAAUGUUAGAUUUACUCAGGUAGCCCUGAUGUGAUUUCUUUGGGCCCCAUAUGCAUGUGCUGGCUGGGAAAUGAUAUUUGUAUUUAUUUUAUAUUUUUUCCAAAGAUUAAAUCAUUGUUCUAACAAAAGAGGGAGGGAAAUGGACUCACAUGCAGGAGUUUUAUUCAACACAAACUGAUACAGGCAAGUAUUCGGGUGAAUGACUUCAAGUGCAUCAUCUCACAAACGUGUGAUCAAAAUAUACAGUAUCUCAUAUAGAGCACAACAACCCAGAUAUAAAGAGUCAAUAACCACUUGGGUAAAUUAGAACGUUAAACAGAUAACUGAGAGAACAGAACGGCUUCAGGGAAGCACAUAAAUGGGAAUAACAAAACGCACUCAGCUUAAUUAGUUCAUAGUUCUGGCACAGUAAUCAAUGCAGAUGUGUCUCAUGCUUUGUGAUACAUCAGAGGAAUACACACAGUCUUGCGUUGGUGGUACAUUUGAGGAAGAUGCACAAUCUUCGCGCUGGAAACAAACAGGAGAUUAGAAUCCUUUGGAAGGGAUCCCAAGAACACAACAGUAUCAGGUAAGUUUCUCACAGGGUAAACAAGUCUACAGCCACAUCAGCGAAUAAGUAUUGAGUUUUCCAAUUGAUUCCAGGUGAUAAUCAUCAAUACUCCAAGAGUGUAAGCGGGUGAAUGAAUGCAGAGGUGAAUGCGUUCAGUUGAGUCCAAUCAGCACUCCAGCAAGUGAGAGUGGGAGACUCCCUUCAAAGGGUUUACCCUCUGGAGUGAGAGCUUCGAAGGGUUGAAGGGUGAAGGGGACCAAACAUCUGUUUCUUCAAGUGCUCUUCUGCGUAAUCAUCUCAUGCCCAUACGGAGGCGCCCUCAUCAUGCAACGAAUCUGUGCAAAGAAUCAAGGGGGCCGAAGUGUCCAUCAGUUGUACUCUUUGAAAUCCUUCAUUCCGAAGGGUCCUUUGAAGUGGCCAACUUUGAGCACUUUGGUUUGGAAUGACCCUUCAAUAUGGUGGCCAUGAUUAUUUUCACUCUGAAGUGCCCUUCGGAGGGACAUAUAUCCCAUUUGGAACACACUGUGAGUGCAGCGAGGGAGAAACCGGUGCAACCAUGAUAGUUAUAUCUCUAUCAUUAUAGUCAUUAUCUAGUUCUUUAAUAAAAUCACGGUUAAAUCAUGUGCAUUGUUACUGUACUAAUAAAAAAUUAAAAAUACAUAACCAGAAUGAUUAUCUGUACAAGGUGAAUGAAGCUGUAUGCACAUACCUUUCAAAGCCUAAAUGUCAAGGUAUUUCUUUUCAUGAACAAUUUCCCCUCUUGAAAGGGAGGGUGGAUCUGGUGGCUACGGUGACCUCAGAAUAAGAAAGAAACAGACUAAUAUUAGCAUAGAUGCCAUUCUGCUUAUGAUGUAACUUGUUCUCAUUGGUGGGUUUUGUCAUUUGGUCUCCUGGUCUAGUAUAAAAGAUGCUCACACUCACCCUAGGGGGCUGAUUAUUGAAUAGCCAAUUUCUGUGUUCCUAGUUUCCGAGUUUACCCCUUCAGUGUUUCCUAGUUUACUUGUGUUUUUGAUCUUUGGACUGUUUCCUUAUUUUCUGAUUGAUUGCUGCCUGCCCUGACCACAGGGUGUUUAUUGGAUUACUCUUUUGCCUCUGCCUUGGAUUAUACUGUUUGCUGAUGUUCAACCCUGCCUGUUUUGACCAUGUUUGUUAAUAAAGCCUUGCAUUUGGAUUCCUAACUCCAUUGUUGCGCUCUCCACGUUACCGAGGGACACAUCAUUAUUGAAGGCCUUAACUGGAUUCCACUCUUCUUUUUAUUGUAUCAAUUAUGAUUAAAGGUAACAUAAGUUGAAGCAGAAAGACAAUGAAAAGUGAAAACUUUAAACAGAAACCAAAC
rnacentral:lncRNA from 1 species